rnacentral:lncRNA from 1 species
GUGAAAGCACUGACCCCUGGGCAGGGCCCUGGGCUGUCUGGGCUGGGAGACUCCCCCAGUCAGAUUUAGCUCCUAGAUGCCUGUUCCUCAGCCCCUAAUGGGAGUGGAAAGAUCCCUCCUGCCUGCCUUUUCCUGGCAGGGCAGUAAGCGGCUGUGUAGGGAGCACAGGCCGGGCAUCCGGAGAGCUGGGUGGACAGGUGGCUCUGCUGCCAGCUGGAUGUGUGGCCCUGGAUGAAGCCCCGACCUCUCAGAGCUGCUCCGAUCUCAACGUGAAGUUGAAACCAAACUCCAUGCCCGGCCGACCUCACAGUGCGCUUGUAGGAUCAGAAGGGUACAUGAUGGGCCGGGCAUGGUGGCUCAUGCCUGUAAUCCCAGCGCUUUGGGAGGCCGAGGUGGGCGGAUCACCUGAGGUCAGGAGUUCAAGACCAGCCCGGCCAACAUAGCGAAACCCUGUCUCUACAAAAAAUACAAAAAUUAGCCGGGUGUGGUGGCGCACACCUGUAGUCCCAGAGGCUGAGGCAGGAGAAUUCCUUGAGAUACGGAAGUGGAGGUUGCCGUGAGCCAAGAUCGCGUCAUUACACUCCAGCCUGGGCGACAGAAGAAGAAAGAAGAAGAAGAAGAGGAGGAGGAGGAAAAAGAAGAAGAAGAAAAGACGAAAAAGAAGAAGAAAAAGAAGAAAAAGAAGGGAGAACCUUCAUGGACUUGAAAGAGAAGCUGAAAACCAAACAUUCCUAAAACAUGGAUUUCAGGAGCAAUUUGUUUGGUUUCCGUCCCACCCUGUUUCUGCUCAGGGGGGUGUCAGGCACUUGUCCCUGAGGUUGGGUGGAGGGUCCACGCCCUUCCAGGCUCACCCGUCCAGCCUCGGCAGCAGGUCUCCUCCGGCACCA